CCAAUUUUGAGUUUCUUAAGAGCAGGCAAGGGCAAUGUCCUAGAUUUAUGUUUUAGCUCCUUACUAAACACAAUUCUUUUUGUGUGGUGAAAGAAAUGAAAAGCAAGACAUUGGAAAUGGCUUCUUCCUUAUCUGUCUGACACUCCCCCAAAUCUACUGGGGGAGAAGGAGUCACACCUCUCUGGAGACCAGCAGGCAGAAGCUCAGUGUGAGGUAUCUGGGGCACCACCCCUGGAGCCAUCAGCUGUGCCUGUGGGGCACUCGAGGACAGCAGGACUGUCACAGGCUGUGUCACCCUUGAAAUAAAAGUAGCCUCAGGAUUUGGAACAACCCAAGCAAGCAUGAAGCCUGGCCUGGGGGGUGAGACA